rnacentral:rRNA from 1 species
AACGCGAAGAACCUUACCCAGGCUUGACAUGCAUAGGACAGUUACAGAGAUGUAAUCUCCCUUCGGGGCCUAUGCACAGGUGCUGCAUGGCUGUCGUCAGCUCGUGCCGUGAGGUGUUGGGUUAAGUCCCGCAACGAGCGCAACCCUUGUCAUUAGUUGCCAACACGUAAUGGUGGGAACUCUAAUGAGACUGCCUAGGUUAACUAGGAGGAAGGUGAGGAUGACGUCAAGUCCGCAUGGCCCUUAUGUCUGGGGCUACACACGUGCUACAAUGGCCGGUACAAAGGGCAGCAAAACCGUGAGGUGAAGCAAAUCCCAUAAAGCCGGCCCCAGUUCAGAUUGUAGUCUGCAACUCGACUACAUGAAGUCGGAAUUGCUAGUAAUGGCGUGUCAGCCACAACGCCGUGAAUACGUUCCCGGGCCUUGUACACACCGCACUACUA